GAUUUCGUCAUGUGAUACUUACAUAAAUCUCUGUGGGAAACAAGUUGUGUCACUUUGCCUUCACAACAUUGAAGAGGAGCAUUACUAAAUAAAAUGGCUACAACAUCCUGUAAGAACUGUGGGUUGAUGAAAAACUACAAUGGAACAUUACCGUAUAGAUGUAAGUGUGAACCUGAGGAACAGCCCAACCCUUUUUCUCUGGCAUUGCUUCAGUCAAACAGUAGCAUCCAGAGGUCCAUGGUCGUACCAACAAACGGGGCAAUGACUCGACAUUACAACAACAUUGAGCAAGGUGUUCAAACAUAUCAACGUGUAGUCAUGAAGAACGGCCGGGCUGUUGAAACUGAAGAAAUCAAGUUUUAUUCAACCAAUUGAAGGCUGAUUUAAGUCACCACAUCAUUGUAAUGAUUAAUAUAAUGAAAUUCUAAGUGCUUGUGAGGGUUUAUAAGUUACAUGCUGUGUAUUCUCAGUGAUUUCUUUUGUCUAUAAACUGAGUUGGAAAUCCAUAAUGUGUUGACAUGUUGCCAUUAAAACUUAGUUAAACUUUCAGAAAGCAGUUCAGUUGCCUGAUAGUCAAGGAAACUGAUCUCAAGGCUGAACAGAAAGCAAGAGAUCCAACAUCAGUUGCUUCACUGCCAUUCACAAAUCCUCUGCUGUGGCCUCAUGGGAUAGUAAAGUGUUCAUCGUAUGCACACUUCAGAAUCUCACCGGAAAUCAUCCAGGUACUUUUUGCCUACUCUUUUAUGAGUACUUUUGAAUUUGGACAUACUUCUUUUGUCAUAUACUGUUUUUUUUACUGUGUUUUACUAUAUAUUAGGGAAGUGUGUGAUUUCGGAUGCAGCCUGUAUGUCCAGAGAUUUCGGAUUUUGGAGAUAGAGAUUAUGCACCUCCAUUUUUCUAGCAUCCGUUUUGAAAGCCUCGUCACAUACGUGUUUAUGCCUAUGUUGUUACCAAAGUAAUCCAUGCAGAUAGGUUGGUUAUGUCUGGAAACACAAAUCUUAUUUGAUCACUUGCAGUAAAUAGUGCGGACAGUCUGCCUGAAAAGAUCUGAUUUGAGAAAAAAAAUUGAUUUGCCUGCAGUCUGAACAUAGCCACAGAACAUAAGAACUGUGUGAGGGAUAUAUUAUCUAAGCAAAAUAUUGUUUACUGAUGUAAAUAUAUGCAUCUAACUGAACUAAUAAUGUUUUCACCAUAUUAUAUUUACUGGUUAAACUGAAUCAAAAGCAAAAGUAAAAUAGUAUGUGUAGUAUUGAGACUUUGAACUCAGAUUAACAUCAUGUCAUGAUGAAAAGGUUCCCGGAAAGACGAUAACAAAAUCAUGUUUACUGUAAUGCCUGUUUGACAUUAAAUAAAUGGAUAACCAGAAUGAUAUUUGCAUUAUUUAGCUUUAGGUCACGUCACACUUAUGUACUUAUAUAUGGCCUAUAUAUUUCUCAGUGAUAUUUCAGUCUCAUUUAUACUCCCGACAUCAACAUCAUCAUCAUAAAAUCUGUAAAUAUAUUUACUGAAAUAUUAAGAAUUAUCUACAUAAUUUUUGUUGCGAGUGUAAAUAAUUUGUUGUGACAUGGUGAUGCCAUAGGAAAAUGAUUGAAUGAGUGAAUAUUUCAUGAUUUAAUGAUACGGGAGGCACGGUAUGUUUGAGCGCAUGCUCUCAAGAGUCAGCCAUUUUUUUAAUAUCAGCCAAAUAUCAACAACAACAACACAAUGACUACUGCCUAAUAUUCAUAUCAUGUGUAUUUUUAAUGGUGCUCUCAGAUUACAAUGAUGUCACAAUAUUUACAAAAUACUUUCAUGAAAUUGUGUCUGCCAUUGCCUAUGACCUAAAUGAAAAAAUAUUUCAUUGUAAAACAGCUGAUGAGAUUGUUUUGCCAUGAUUUUCUCAUUCUUGUACUGCAUGUCUUUCAGUUUCACUUUUGGCUGCAUCAAGAACAUUCCCACUGACAGAUGGGUGGAGAUAUUAUUUGAAACUUACAUAGAUCUGUGUGGGACACAAUAAAGUCAGUUUGCAUUUAGAAAUUUGAAGAAAAGCAUUAAAGGAUUAGUUCACUUCAGAAUUCAAAUUUCCUGAUAAUUUACUCACCCCCAUGUCAUCCAAGAUGUUUAUGUGUUUCUUUCUUCAGUCGAAAAGAAAUUAAGGUUUUUGAGGAAAACAUUCCAGGAUUUUUCUCCAUAAUAUUCAUUGGCUACCAACGGGUUGAAGGUCCAAAUUGCAGUUUCAGUGCAGCUUCAAAAAGCUCUACAUGAUCCAGACGAGGAAUAAUGGUCUUGUCUAGCAAAAUUAUCUGUCAUUUUCUAAAAAAAAGAAAUAAAUAAUAUACUUUUUAACCACAAAUUCUCGUCUUGCACUGCUCUGCGAUGCGCCACGCAUUAUGUAAUCACGUUAUAAAGAUCAUGCGUGUCGUAGGCAGAAGUACCGAUCCAGUGUCUACAAAGCGAACAUGCAAAGAUUAAGUCAAACGGCCUUUACAAUACAAAAAAAAAAAAAAAAGUAAAAGAAUGACGUCGGAUGAUUUUAAAGUUGGAGGAGAAAAUGAGAUGGAGUUUUUCACCUAUUCAACUUACGGAACGAACGCGGCGCCAGUUCCGUUUUUUCUGUAAGUAGAAUAGGGAAGGCGUAGGACAUACAGCGUAAACUUUUUGAAGAAUACGGAAGGCGGAAUGGCGAAGCACUUGAUCAUUUGUGUUUAUAAAGUAUAUACAAAUACAUAUAUUGAAAGUGGACUAAUCCUUUAAUACACAGUUUACCAAAAAGUGCCCCAAUUGGUGUGCAUUAUAGUGAAGACUACUCAGAACGCAUUUCCUAUCAUGUACACCUAUGAAAGACAACCGGGCCAAUCAGAGUAAGUAUAGGGCGGAGCGACACGUGUAGCUCCACCGCAGGUGCAGCCCCGCCACAUUCAGCAGGCUGCAGUCAUGUCCUUCUCAAGUAUUUAAAUAUGGCAUAUUAUUUAUACAAAAUAAAAUAUUAUAUAUUGAGCAAUAAUAUUUAAAUGAACAAUAAUAUCCAUUGUAAAAGUAUAAUAAGUUUGUACAAUAGAAAAUAAACACAAGCAAAAAGUACAAAAGCAAGCAUCUAGUUAAAUUACAGGAUUUAAGUUAAAUAAAAAUAUAAAGUUAUGAAACUUAACUUUGUCCUUAGCAUAAUCAAUUUCAUCUAUAACAAGUAGAUUAAUAAGGCCAAAGAUUUCCCGUUUGAUAUAGCCUACCCAAAAUGAAUUACAUCAUGUUUAACCACUAUAGUUGUCACGGCUGGGUACUGCUCAGAGACUGUUUAGGAAGAUCCAUGUGCAGCUUUAUUUGUAAGAACAACAUGUCAAAACAUAAUCCAAAUGACAGGCAAAGUUCCAAAACCACAAGAGAUAUGAAAUAACAGUCAUAAGAACAGUACUAGACAAUACAAAACCUCGAUUACAAAUGCAGAAACAAACAACUUAAAUAGACAGACAAAUGACACAAAUGAGAACCAGUUGAGGGCAAUAAACCCAGAGGAGAACUGGGCAAAAGGACUCUGGGAAAUAAAGUUCAUGGCAGAGACACAGUGGAAGGGAAGAGGGAACUACAACUAGACACAGACACACUGGGAAAUAGAAUUCAUAGCAGUGUUGCUGUGGACGGUGAAGGAGUGCCCUCUGUGGAUAACUAGGGCACAACAGCUAGACACUGUGACAAUAGUAGCCUACAUAUGCCAGCGAUCGAAACAAUUUUUCAAAAAGGCGCUAUGUUUAGGCUACAUGUAAAUAGCAUAUCUGAGGUCUAAACAACUACAUUCUCACCUAAAAAAACUCCUAAAACUACAUUCUGUGAGACAAUAACGGUUGUAUUUUAAAAUUAUAGUGCAUUUGCUCUUUUUCAUUGACACUCACUGUGAAAAAUGCUGCCUGUAUAGAUCCAACAGAAACAAGCGGAGUGAUACAAACUGUGAAACAGUUUGCAUGGCUGGUAAGACUUCUCAGCCAAUCGAGGACCAGAUGUAACUGUUGUAUAUAUAUAUAUAUAUAUAUAUAUAUAUAAAUUGUUCUUGUAUCAUGGAGAAAACAACCAACAUAAAAAUGAUAUUGGUUGUUGUGGAUGAAUUUGAAUGAAUGUUUUUAAUGAAUUGAAUGAAUUUUCUGUUUGUUUUGCCCUUUAAAGUUUUUUACUUUCUGUUUCACUUUUAGAACCAUUACUGAGGAAUUGAUGACAGGUAGUGGGUGGUGAUUAUCUUGUGAUGUUUUUUUUUUUUUUUUUUUUGUCUGGCUGUCAAGAUGCUGUUUUCAACACAUUGUUUUAUUGACUUGACAGCAGCAGUGAUGGCUUUUUCAGUUGCUACUUAUGGUAAAGGAAACUUUGGAAAGGUGUAUAAAGUAACCUUUGGAAGUACCUGUGUGGCUCUUAAGAAGGUGCCCUGUACUGUUGCAACUAAAGAAGACAUUCAGAAAGAGAAAAAUAUAUAUCGGUCAUUGAAUAAUUCCAAUGUGGUGAAGCUCCUGGCAGAUCCCUGGCUGGACUCUAAGAGCAUGUGGAAUAUUCCUUUGGAAUUCAUCUCUGGGAAAACUCUGGAAAAACUUAUGUUCAGCUCACAGUCAUACAUAGAGCUAACAAAGCCUGUCAUAAUCACCAUUAUCAAUGGCAUGUGUGAAGGCCUCGCUUACAUGCACAGCAAGAAUAUCGUCCAUCAGGACCUCAAGCCUGACAACAUCAUGGUGGAACACAACACUUAUAGGGCCGUCAUAAUUGACUUAGGACUUGCCAGAUUUCAAAAGAACGGGCUUUGCUUUGGUGCAGAAGGAGGCAAUUGGUGUUACUCUGCUCCGGAGAUUUUCCAAGGAAAAUACAGAGACCAGUACUCUGAUGUGUGGGCGAUGGGGAAAAUUAUAGCAGAGCUCCUGAUCGUGCCCAGAGCGAGACUCCCUCCGACCAUCACCACUCUUCAUGUGAUUGCAGCCAUGAAUAUGAAUCCAUAUGCUUUCCCGGUCUCUAGAAUGGUUAACAAACUUGUUUUAUUCAGACCUGCGAUGGCGCAGAUCUUAGGACAGAUUGAUCAGGCAGGGAGAAAGUGGAUUUUGUAUACUUGCCUUUUUGGGAAUGUAGGAAUGUAGCUAUUUAAAAGAUUCUCUAGAAGCUUAGAUUUGGCAAUGAGUUUAUUACUGACUGACGAACUUCACUAACACAUUUGUUGUGUUCAUGUGCCAGUUGCUCUACUCAACUCGAUGAAGUGUAAAUCUCAAGAAAGUAAAUGACAACAAUUACUAAAAAAAAAAUGCAUUAAGAAACAUCUUUCAGGUUGUGAACUGUAAUCCUAUGGCCAACAAUCAAAAGAGGCCAAAUGUUUUUUAAGUGUAUUUUUGGAUGUUGAGAAUAUACUGUAGUUUUACUGUCCUUUUUGCAGAGAUUAUAUGUGAUGAUAUAGAUUUGAUAUUUUUUUUUCUUUGUUAUAUAUUAUUUAAUUAUGAUCAGUGUCAGUUCAAUAGAAUAAAAACAGAGUUCGUUUGAAAUGUCAAAACAGUGGCAA